rnacentral:tRNA from 1 species
GCCCGGAUAGUUCUGUCGGUAGAGCAUGAGACUUAAUCUCAGGGUCGUGGGUUCGAGCCCCACUUUGGGAG